rnacentral:rRNA from 1 species
UAACAGGAUUAGAUACCCUGGUAGUCCAUGCCGUAAACGUUGGGCACUAGGUGUGGGGGACAUUCCACGUUUUCCGCGCCGUAGCUAACGCAUUAAGUGCCCCGCCUGGGGAGUACGGCCGCAAGGCUAAAACUCAAAGAAAUUGACGGGGGCCCGCACAAGCGGCGGAGCAUGCGGAUUAAUUCGAUGCAACGCGAAGAACCUUACCAAGGCUUGACAUGAACCGGAAAGGCGUAGAAAUACGUCCCCCACUUGUGGUCGGUUUACAGGUGGUGCAUGGUUGUCGUCAGCUCGUGUCGUGAGAUGUUGGGUUAAGUCCCGCAACGAGCGCAACCCUCGUUCUAUGUUGCCAGCACGUGAUGGUGGGGACUCAUAGGAGACUGCCGGGGUCAACUCGGAGGAAGGUGGGGAUGACGU